CCCUGCUGCUGCUGCUGCUGCUAAGUCGCUUCAGUCGUGUCCGACUCUGUGCGACCCCAUAGACGGCAGCCCACCAGGCCCCGCCGUCCCUGGGAUUCUCCAGGCAAGAACACUGGAGUGGGUUGCCAUUUCCUCCUCCAAUGCAUGAAAGUGAAAAGUGAAAGUGAAGUCGCUCAGUCGUAUCCGACUCUUAGCGACCCCAUGGACUGCAGCCUACCAGGCUCCUCCGUCCAUGGGAUUUUCCAGGCAAGAUAGCUGGCGAGGUGAGGAUUGCCAGUCCUGGAAGGAUGAGGUAAAGUUAAAUCGGGUACAGCAGCAGAAUCAAGGAGGAGGAAGAUCUUGCUCCAAACCCUGAGGGACGGGACGAGAUAUGACAACGAGCAGGAGAAAAAGAAAGAAAGCAAAGUCUCAGCCUGGCUUCUGAGUUUCAAAAGCAGCCGUUGGUCUGGACACGACAUGCAGGUUCGUCUGGGAGCAUCCUGCUCACUCCCGUUGCCUCUAAGCUCCCUCCUCCCUUCACCCUCCUACCCUCGUGAUCAUUGCCUGCACCUGCAGUUCCCCUGGGGAGUCCUCUCUGAGCCUUCUCUGCAGGCUCAGCCUCCAGCAAAAAGAGCCCCGUGUUCUAACUCAAGAGGACUCAGCUGAGGGACGCCCACCAGAGAUGACCUCAGCAACCCCUCCAGUCGCUCAGUCAACAAGUACUUAUCGAAGGUCUUCCCUGCGCCAGAUGCUGUUUCAGAUGCUGGACAUUCAGCAGUGAACAAACAGACAAAAACCUCUGCCCUUGUGGGCUCGCAUCCCAGUACUGUUACCAUAGUAACAGGCCUUGAGCACCACUCGGUCCCCCCACAUCUGUCCCGAGAGUUGGAAACAUCCUGAUGGCACAGACAGCACUUCCCUCCGGGGUCUCCACGAAGCUGGGGUGUCACUGGCACAGCUCUUUCUCUCCCCUUGACCCGGCUCCCCCGAGGCCACGGGUAUCACGGGGCAAGGGUGCGCCUGGCACAGCGCUGGUAUGAGGCCGUGAUUGUCAGACUCAGCAGUGGCUUUGGCAGUUCAAGCGCCUUCAGCUACCAUUGCCGUUUGGUGUGUUUCUGUUUUGCUCUAACUGAAACUUAGUGCUUCUCUUUCAAUGUAUUUUCAAUCUGUUAUGUAAUUGCAUAUCAUUACAUAAUAGUAAAAAAAAAAAAAAUUUGUGUCCCUAUUGUUCAUAAAAUUGUCCUGUUUUAGGAAAUAACUUACCUGGAAGCUUGACUCACCUAGAGUGGGGCACGUCAGGUCAAGCGCUCUGCGGUACCAUUCAUCUGUUCAGGUAGCAUUAGUUGAACAUCUGCCCCCACAGCAGAUGCCGAGAGUGGGAGUGGGAGCCCAGGGAGACCCCUGUUUAGAGAGGCCUGUUUUC
rnacentral:lncRNA from 1 species